UCAGGCUCAGUGACGCACGUGUAUUUGCUGGCGUAAGAUCAUGGAAUGGAAAGAUACGCAAAAGUAACCGGAGAAGAAUAUCCUACGGCCAUCUUACUCCAACGAAGUUAUGGAGAUUGUGCGUGUUCCUUUCAUUUCUUUCUCACGUGUUUUUUCUUCUUCUCGGGUGAUAUGAUGAAGCCUUUUAAAGCUUCAUGUCAUUUCAUUUCAUUUCCCACAUAUCCUCUAGAACCACAAACUCAAUCUUGAGGCACAUCCGCCGCGACACUUUCCCAUGAUACACUUCGACCUAGCCGUCUUUUUAGUCAGUGCUUUUGCAGAGACGGUCCAGUUUUUUGCUGCUUAAGAGAUAAGUAACAGGUGCUUUUAGCUUAAUUUCUCAAUAUAUAGUCUUUCUUUCCGUAUUUCAUAGGUGAAAUCAUGGGCAUAGUAUUGAAGACUUUUCUCGUCAUUCUCGUGGCCUGGGUGUUGCUUUACACCGAAGUGUACGCUGUCGGGGCGGUGAGAAACCGAGCGCGAGGGAAAGGCCCGCCGUCCGCCGGUUCGGGCCGAGCGUACAACCGGGUGCCCUUCAGUCGGUUCGGUCGCGGGGGGCUGUCCGAGACGGAGGCGAGCGGGAGCCCGGUGAUGGAGAGGGACAGCUUGCUGAGGUGGGCAGCGGCGGUGGAGGAAACUUUAUCCGCGCUGUCGCCGCUGCACUCGAGCCGUGUCUCCGGGCAUGAUGUGGACAGGCACUCCACCCUGCACGGGGCCAGCAAUCAUGGCGAGAGGUGGGGGAGCUCACGGACCCGGGAUACCCGUUCUCUGCGAUCUAGGCUGCUGAUGUGGCUGGCCAGUUCACCCCGGUAGCAUCUCGGACCCGUCUACUGAAGCCCUUCUUCUCUGACGAUUCUGCAGCAGGGCAGCGAAUGAGAGAGAAGGGACAGAGAAGGGACACCAAAGUCGAGAAACGUCUGGAAAAUGGACGACCUGAGAGAAGAACUGAGUGAAGAAGAAAUACUCAUAGACUACAAAGCAUUGUCUUAGGGAAUUUUCCAGUGUGCAGAUUUUUAAUAUGUUGAAUAUUUUUCCAGACUCUUUUACGUAUAGCCAGUUGAGUUUUCCUCAUGGGAAACAUUUUGCAAAGACACUAUAUGUAAUCCGUAAUACAUGAUACCAGUUUAUUUCAACAGUUGGUUUAUUAACUUCUAUACAUUAUGAACGACAUACAAAAAAGGGAACACAGCAAUGCCACCUCCUGUUCAAGUUCUUUGAAGACCCAAGUAAAUUUUGAAAGCUAUAUAGUUUUUGAA